rnacentral:rRNA from 1 species
GACGAACGCUGGCGGCGUGCUUAACACAUGCAAGUCGAACGAUGAACCACUUCGGUGGGGAUUAGUGGCGAACGGGUGAGUAACACGUGGGCAAUCUGCCCUGCACUCUGGGACAAGCCCUGGAAACGGGGUCUAAUACCGGAUACUGAUCGCCUUGGGCAUCCUUGGUGAUCGAAAGCUCCGGCGGUGCAGGAUGAGCCCGCGGCCUAUCAGCUUGUUGGUGAGGUAAUGGCUCACCAAGGCGACGACGGGUAGCCGGCCUGAGAGGGCGACCGGCCACACUGGGACUGAGACACGGCCCAGACUCCUACGGGAGGCAGCAGUGGGGAAUAUUGCACAAUGGGCGAAAGCCUGAUGCAGCGACGCCGCGUGAGGGAUGACGGCCUUCGGGUUGUAAACCUCUUUCAGCAGGGAAGAAGCGAAAGUGACGGUACCUGCAGAAGAAGCGCCGGCUAACUAC